GGUAGGCGUCGUGUCCCUCUGGAUUGUUCUUCCGUUCCAGAAAGGUGUGUGUCCCCGGUUUUUAUCUCGUGCCGAUGCCACAUAUGUGAGGAUUUGCAAUUUUUUGAGUGGAAUUUGCAUAGGAAGACCUGUUUGAUAUUUUUCUGUCUCUUUUCUAGUGUAAGGUUGUCUAGAAGAGAAGAAAUAGGCGGCGUGAAAAUGAUGGUGGUUUUGAGACAAUUACGGCCAGCCGUCAGUCACCUGUGGCGGAAGGCAGCGAGGUGUGGCGACCGUCUGGACUCCGGAGGAAGUGGAGGACAGUGUUGAAACAGUGUAGUCCUCAAACGAGUGUUGUGGGUUGAUAGGUUUGGUAUGGCAUCAUCAACUUAUUUGUUACUGAUGAUGGUUCCUCAUACAAGCAGUUCGCGUAGAAUUAAGGAAUCAGACAUGUCAUGGGUUCGAACGAAGGGGGAAUUUUACGAUACAUAUUUUUCCUUUGAAUUGCGUCAUCGCCGCUCGAGUACAUAAGUUGCUUCAUAUGCGGUGACCGUUUAGGCGUAUGGCCUGUCAACUUUCUGCUGCGAUGAUAUGCAACAAUAUCCGUGUGCGAUAAUCAUGCUAUGAGGAGCAAUAUAUCUGUUGGAAGCU